CUCCCCGUAGUUUAAUGGAUGAGAAUGCUAGCCUACGAAGCUUGAGAUGCCUGUUCGAAUCGGGUCGGGGAGUCCA
rnacentral:tRNA from 1 species